CACGUGCUACAAUGGGCAGAACAAAGGGCAGCGAAACCGCGAGGUUAAGCCAAUCCCACAAAUCUGUUCUCAGUUCGGAUCGCAGUCUGCAACUCGACUGCGUGAAGCUGGAAUCGCUAGUAAUCGCGGAUCAGCAUGCCGCGGUGAAUACGUUCCCGGGCCUUGUACACACCGCCCGUCACACCACGAGAGUUUGUAACACCCGAAGUCGGUGAGGUAACCUUUUUGGAGCCAGCCGCCGAAGGUGGGACAGAUGAUUGGGGUGAAGUCGUAACAAGGUAGCCGUAUCGGAAGGUGCGGUUGGAUCACCUCC
rnacentral:rRNA from 1 species